GAUGAACGCUGGCGGCGUGCCUAAUACAUGCAAGUCGAGCGAACAGACGAGGAGCUUGCUCCCCGGACGUUAGCGGCGGACGGGUGAGUAACACGUGGAUAACCUACCUAUAAGACUGGUAUAACUUCGGGAAACCGGAGAUAAUACCGGAUAAUAUAUUGAACGGCAUGGUUCAGUAGUGAAGGACGGUUUUGCUGUCACUUGUAGAUGGAUCCGCGCGGCAUGAGCUAGUUGGGAAGGUAAAGGAUUGCCAAGGCAACUAGGCGUAGCCGACCUGAGAGCGUGAGCGGCCACACUGGAACAGUGACACGGUCCAGACUCCUAGGGGAGGCAGCAGGAGGGAAGCGGCCGAAAUUGGAGAAAGCCUGACAGAGCAACGCCGCGUCAGUGAUGAAGGUCUUCGGAUCGUAAAACUCUGUUAUUAGGGAAGAACAAAUGUGUAAGUAACUAUGCACGUCUUGACGGUACCUAGUCAGAAAGCCACGGCUAACUACGUG
rnacentral:rRNA from 1 species